rnacentral:rRNA from 1 species
CGUAGGUAACCUGCCUCUUAGCGGGGGAUAACUAUUGGAAACGAUAGCUAAUACCGCAUAAAAGUCGACAUUGCAUGAUGUUGACUUGAAAGGUGCAACUGCAUCACUAAGAGAUGGACCUGCGUUGUAUUAGCUAGUUGGUGAGGUAACGGCUCACCAAGGCGACGAUACAUAGCCGACCUGAGAGGGUGAUCGGCCACACUGGGACUGAGACACGGCCCAG